rnacentral:rRNA from 1 species
UACGUAGGUGGCAAGCGUUGUCCGGAUUUAUUGGGUUUAAAGGGUGCGUAGGCGGUCUUAUAAGUCAGUGGUGAAAUACGGCAGCUCAACUGUCGAGGUGCCAUUGAUACUGGGAAACUUGAGUACUGAUGAGGUAGGCGGAAUGGACGGUGUAGCGGUGAAAUGCUUAGAUAUCGUCCAGAACACCGAUAGCGAAGGCAGCUUACUAAGGAGUAACUGACGCUGAGGCACGAAAGUGUGGGGAUCAAACAGG